GUUUCUAUAGUUGAAUUACAACGGUGGUUUUUCAGAUCAUUGGUCCUGGUUGAACUCCUGGUAGGAACU
rnacentral:tRNA from 1 species